rnacentral:rRNA from 1 species
GGUAUGGGAUGAGCUUGCGUCCGAUUAGCUAGUUGGCGGGGCAACGGCCCACCAAGGCGACGAUCGGUAGCCGGCCUGAGAGGGUGAUCGGCCACAUUGGGACUGAGAUACGGCCCAGACUCCUGCGGGAGGCAGCAGUAGGGAAUAUUGCACAAUGGGGGAAACCCUGAUGCAGCAACGCCACGUGUGGGAAGGAGCAUUUCGGUGUGUAAACCACUGUCGUGAGGGAAUAAACUCGCCCUUCGGGGCGACUUGAAUGUACCUCGAGAGGAAGCACCGGCAAACUUCGUGCCAGCAGCCGCGGUAAUACGAGGGGUGCAAGCGUUGUUCGGAAUUACUGGGCGUAAAGGGAGCGUAGGCGGAGAUUCAAGCGGAUUGUACAAUCCCGGGGCCCAACCCCGGCUCUGCAGUCCGAACUGGAUCUCUUGGAUAGUUCAGGGGCAGGC